AAAAAGAUAAGCUAAGAUAAGCUAACGGGUUCAUACCCCGUCUAUGAAGGUCACUUCUCUUUUUA
rnacentral:tRNA from 1 species